GAUGAACGCUGGCGGCGUGCCUAAUACAUGCAAGUCGAGCGAACGGACGAGAAGCUUGCUUCUCUGAUAUUAGCGGCGAACGGGUGAGUAACACGUGGAUAACCUACCUAUAAGACUGGGAUAACUUCGGGAAACCGGAGCUAAUACCGGAUGAUAUUUUGAACCGCAUGGUUCAAAAGUGAAAGACGGUCUUGCUGUCACUUAUAGAUGGAUCCGCGCUGCAUUAGCUAGUUGGUAAGGUAACGGCUUACCAAGGCAACGAUGGAUAGCCGACCUGAGAGGGUGAUAGGCCACCCUGGAGCUGAGACGCGGACACGACUACUGCGGGAGGCAGCAGUAGGGAAUGUUACGCAGUGGGCGAAAGCCUGGCGGAGCGACGCCGCGUGAGAGAUGAAGGUCUUCGGAGCGUAAAGCUCUGUUAUUAGGGAAGAACCUAUGUGUAAGUAAAAGAGCCCAUCUUGACGGUACCUAAACAGAAAGCCACGGCUAACUACGUG
rnacentral:rRNA from 1 species